CAGCAGACACAUUCCAGCCAAUCAGCAGCAGACCCUCCCUCCCAGACCCUCACACCUCCUGGACAGCAUCCAUUUUACAUUCAUUGUGAAGCUGCAUUUUUAGUGAGCUGUCCAGGAGGUGGGAGGGUCUGGGAGGGAGGGUCUGCUGCUGAUUGGCUGGAAUGUGUCUGCUG
rnacentral:miRNA from 1 species